rnacentral:lncRNA from 1 species
UUUUUGGCAUAAUACUAGAAUGAAUCUUUAUUUCUCCCUCCCUCUCGGCCUCUCCUCCCCCAUGUUGGGUUUUGAAACAGGAAACCUCGGCUGGCAUCAGUAUUUUAGCGACCUCAAACAUACUUCCAGGCACGUUCUCUUUCCCUCUUAUGCAUUUCAAGUAUGAUCUUGUUGUUUCAUCAGUAUUGUCGUCUUAAAACUGUUCCUCUCGGGAAAUUGUUAACCAGUAUUUCCUGUUGCAUGGCAAUUGGCAUGUUUUCAUCGGUUUGAAUGUGAUCCCUUUCCUUUAUUCCUUUGCUAAUAAGCACAAGCUAUCCACUGGUCCACCAAGGUAAAGGGUAAUGCAACAGUUGAAUCUUAUCAAGUACCCAAAGACCACGAAGAAAAAAUGGAUCUAUCAUCCAUGCAAGAAAGGGUUACUAGCUAUUGUAAAUGGUUUAUUUGAUUAAGACUUAGCUGGUUUGAAUCAACUUAUAGAUGCUCAGAUCACAAUAAGCAUAGAAACCUGUGUUAGCAAUACCCAACAAUCCGUUUUUCCUUUCCAGUUAUUUAGCAUUAUAAAACACUACUUCAAGAGAAACAGAUAAAUUUAUCAAUGGAAGCAUGCAUACUUGCCUGCAAGAGACACUCAUUAAUUUUCUUUUUGUUCAAAUACAACGUCAAUUGCUAUUGGAAACAAAUUUUUUUCCUUUUAUGGUCAUAUUUAUAUACUUUUGCUGCUUGGCACAAAAGUAACUUCUAGCUUUAUCUUUCGCUAGUAUAUAUAUAGUAUCACGGGGAGGGCAGGGAAGAGCAUCCUCCACCAACCUAGCAUUCUCUUCCACGGUGUGAUCUGCCUCAAGUUCGGCUAUAUUGAUCUCUUCAUUUUCGAGGUUUUAUCGUUCAAGGUUUGAACAAUAAUAUACAAAUAAGCCAACAGCCUAAUCAAAGGUGGUCGUGCCAUAAUGGUGACAAAUUUAUGAAACCUGCAAAAACAAGAUACGAGCAAUUGAGUCCCCGUUUUGUCUAACAAUAAACCUGCUUUUGAACAGAAGGAAAGAUAAACUCAGAAUUUACCGUUCAAAAGGAGAUUAUGUUAGUGAGGCUCCAACUCUAGCUGGUUUUAGCCUUUGCAGAGCACUUCUUCCAUGCUUUAUUGCUAUCAUAAAUAGACUGAAUAUAUAUAAUAGGUAAAAGUGGAUCUUUCCUAAGAUUAUGUUGGUUGCUCCCUCCAUAAAUGUUCCGCUUGAAGCUUCUGUUACCAGAUAAAGAGAGCAAACAUUAGACAUUAAAAACAAGGUUUAUUUGUCAGAUCAGAUAGGAUAAUCUAUUUUAUCUGUAAUUACCCCCACAAGAUUUCUGUCAUUGUCAUCUUAGUAAAUACCCAGAGCCAUUCUUAUAUCCAAGCAUGUAGUUAAUAGAUAGAGAGAGCAAUACUAAUUAUUUACUGCAUGCAGGUCAUUAUACCGAUCUGAUAAUGCAGGAGAAAAUAUCUUGAUUUUUCAGAAGAAUGCAUACCGGAAGUUUUCUUGGGGAAGUUGUUCCAAUCAUGAGGGCUCAUCUUCAUUUCUGAUGCAUUUAUCAAGUCCAGAAGAGCUUUAUUAACCUGAAAAUUUAAGAGUAAUUCAGUCUAUAAAGGUUCUUUCCACAGGCAAAUACCAUAAAAUAAAACCGUUAAAAAUUCUCAUUAAUCAUUGAGAUAUAUUUUUAGUAAUGAUGGAACACGGUCAAUUUUGUCAAGUUAAUAUUCUACUCUCAUCCAUCAAGUAAGUCAUUUGCACAUGCCAGAAUAUUACUUUCUGUACACAAUUCUACAAGCUCAACAUGAACCUUUUGUUACUCUUUCCCACUCAAAUUCAGUGUUAAAAAUAUUUUCAACUUCUUUUGAAAGUGGCUUUUUAGUGCUUUCCACCAUAGAAAGAUUCUCAAGGUGAACAUUCAUGAUGCCUGAAAUCAAGUGGCUGGCUUCACUUAGAUGGAGAGAAUUACCUCUUCUGUCCUCUCAUGACUUACUAGAUGCCCCCCAUGAAGCUCUACCAUUCUAGCAACGGGUUGUAGCUUCUCUGCAAGCCUCCUCGCAUGGCUUAUUUGAGCAAUGACAUCUUGCCUACACAUUGAGAAUGUUAACUUAGUUCACUAUCAUACAUUUCUCAAGAGAUAAUUAUGCUGAUACAAAGAUGACACUAUAUUGCGGUAUGUGUACCACACAAAACAUAUCAUAGUCACUAUCAAACUACAGCUACUAGCAACUAGAUAUUUUAAUACAAGUAUACAACAAAUACUAAAUCAGCUUACAUCUUGAAUCUUAUUUCAAAAUUCAACUUGGAACUGUUAAGAGAGAGCUUUCAUAAAGUUCACUUUAUUUCAAAAUUCUCCUAUUAGUUCAUCUGUCCACUUUUAUCUUUAAUGUUGCACUAGCAUUCAUUGCCGACCAACCUUCAGACACUCUUUAAAGCACAUUGAGAUUCAAAUUUUAAGAGGAUUUCCCACACUUGAUUUCUAUAUGAACAAGGAGCAGUAAAUAUGAACUAAAAUACACCACAAAUAAUGUGCUAUGUGUUUAGAGGAUUUUAAGGUUAUCGAGAUGAUGGCUCUAGUUUCUUUCUCUCACCACAAACUAAUCCAGUGGGAAAAAAGAAAAAAUCAUUCUUGUCAUAUGUUAAGCGUAACUGAAAUUUUAAAACUCAACUCAUCAGAAAUUAUUAUAUUCAGUUAAUAAAUAGACCGAUAUAUCCUAAGAGAGUUCAAAUAUAUAAGUAUAAUUAACUAUUUUCAGGGUUAUGAAGAUUUAGUACCUGCCAUGAAUGACUGAUACAAGAAAUUCACAUGAAUGGAUUAAUUCAAUUUCUGAUCGUGUCAUUUUAUGUGUCCAGCAUGCAUUGAUUUGACCAUCAAAACCACAGUUAGAUUGCAUGCCAGUUGCUGUUAUGCCUUUUACAUAUUCCUGCCAAGAACAAGCAAGCAUCUUGAUGUUAGCACCUCACAAAGUUGAUCUAGGGUUUAUAUAACAAUAUUAUUGUUGCAAACAAGUUAAUAGAAUUGUCUUCCUAGAAGCUGGAAAAACCUCACAUCAGUGCCCCUGUCAAGCAAUGAUCUAAACAGAUAGCCAACUAUGUAAAUAUUUGACAAUGAUUUCACGCGGGGGCAUGAUAUUAAAAAGCCAGCCUACUGGGUUACUUCUAAAAGAUAAUCAGUUUGGUAUCGUAUCAUUGAGGGGUAUAGAGCAUAUCCAAUAAAAAAAAUUCCUGCAACUUUAAUAUUUUGGAUGAAGUAGAGUAUAUUCCAUUAAGUAUUCAAUCAAACUCAGCUGGGACAGCUAGUUGCAGCAUACAGAAUAAGCAAAAAAAAAAAAAAAAUUGCUUCACUCUAAUUCAUUGUAUAUCUAAUUGGUAUACUGUAGUAUCAUGUAUUCAUCGCAAGAAAGUCAGACCAUCCACUCAAACAAAGAUUACUAGUUUCCAAUGAACAAGGAGUAAAAUUUAUCAGGUCUAAUUGAUUAAAAUGAUUGUCACUCAAUGGCCAGUAUCAACUUUCGACUUCAGCAUUUCUUACUUGAUACAAAAUUGCUCUUCUAGUGUUAGAUCCGACAUAUUCUUCAAGAUACUCCUGCAAUCAGAUGUAAAAUGAGACUAUAUGAGUUGCCGUUGUGUAUUAAAAGAAAAGUUACAUUAACUCAUUUGUUUUCAGAAAAAGAACUAACAUUUAUUCUUGAUAAUUCCUCAACUGAAUUUUAAAUUUGACCUUGUUUGACUCAGAAAGUCUUAAAUUGGAAUAGCAGAUCACUAUUUCUGAGAGGUAUUAUACAUAUGCUAAACAAAGCCUCACUGUCAUUACCCAGUAGAAUCAUCCUAGUCCUCAGAUUUACAUGAAAAUGAAAUUGUUAAUAAAUAACCCCAUUAACAUAAAAAACCAUUACCUUUGAGUAGUGCGUGUCUAAGUCAACCGCUGCUCUUUGUUCAGGAGUCUUUGCCUUUAUAAAACGAAUUGCAAUGGACAGCGUUUUGCGGUCAAACUGCAGCUCAUUACAGAUAGAACUAAGUCAAAAGGUUGGCCGAUGGACAGGAAUUAACUUUUGUGUCGCUGUUAGGCUUCUUUCACAGCAACAAAGAUAUAACAGUGAGAAGUGAUAUCUGGUGAAACCUGACAGAUCAAGGAGUCUUCUUAAAUCAGACUGAUUUAUCCCUCUACUGGAGAGGGAGAGAAAGUGCUUAGCAGAUUAUAAUCACCUUCAACUACAAACAAUUUUUUUUUUGGCUUUCCAAAACUGAAAGUGAGCCUCUCUGUAUUCUACACUUUUGCAAAUGAUUCCAAAAUGUGUCAUAAUCUCUACAGUUUUCAUUACAGUUUACUAACUAUGCUGAUAAUGGAUACACGUACAAACACAUUUGAUCAAGUUUAUGAUAAAAUGAAGACAAGAAGAAAAAGAAGUCAAUUGCCAAGUAUUUGUCUGAUGGGACUAGCAUCAGUGUUCUACAAUUUAAAAAGAAAUUGAA